rnacentral:tRNA from 1 species
GCGUUUGUAGCUCAGUGGAUAGAGCAUCUGCCUUCUAAGCAGAGGGUCGCAGGUUCAAGUCUUGCCAGACGCA